rnacentral:rRNA from 1 species
UACAGAGGGUGCGAGCGUUAAUCGGAAUUACUGGCGUAAAGCGCGCGUAGGCGGCUUUGCAAGUCGGGUGUGAAAUCCCCAGGCUUAACCUGGGAACUGCAUUCGAGACUGCAUUGCUAGAGUAUGGGAGAGGGAAGUGGAAUUUCCGGUGUAGCGGUGAAAUGCGUAGAUAUCGUAAGGAAGACCAGUGGCGAAGGCGGGUCUCUGGACAGUUCCUGACGCUGAGGCACGAAGGUCAGGGGAGCAAACGGG